UACGUAGGGUGCAAGCGUUGUCCGGAAUUAUUGGGCGUAAAGAGCUCGUAGGCGGUCUGUCGCGUCUGCUGUGAAAACUCGGGGCUCAACCCCGAGCCUGCAGUCGAUACGGGCAGACUAGAGUCCGGCAGGGGAGACUGGAAUUCCUGGUGUAGCGGUGAAAUGCGCAGAUAUCAGGAGGAACACCGGUGGCGAAGGCGGGUCUCUGGGCCGGAACUGACGCUGAGGAGCGAAAGCGUGGGGGAGCGAACAGG
rnacentral:rRNA from 1 species